ensembl:misc_RNA Metazoa_SRP Metazoan signal recognition particle RNA
GCUGGGCGCAGUGGUGUGUGCCUGCAGUCCCAGCUACUUGGGAGGCUGAGGUGGGACGAUUGCUUGAGCCCAGGAGUUCUGGGCUGUAGUGCACUAUGCUGAUCAGGUGUCCACACCAAGUUCCGCAUCAAUAUGGUGACCUCCCAGGAGCAGGGGAACACCAGGUUGCCUCAGGAGGGGUGAACCAACCCAGGCUGGAAACGGAGCAGGUCAAAAUUCCCAUGCUCAUCAGUAGUGGAAUUGCGCCUGUGAAUAGCCACUGCCCUCCAGCCUGGGCAACAUGGUGAAACCUUGUUUCUA